rnacentral:lncRNA from 1 species
UUUGCUUCUGACCUUCAAAUAAUUGAGGAGGGCUCUGGUUGUUGCUCCUCUGCUUCUAGCCACUCUCUUUAAACUAUGUGUUGUGUGUUCUCUAAUGAGAAUAACUAUGCUAAUGUGAUUUCUCUUUACAAUGGUGAAUGGUGAUCUUUCUUUUAAUUAUAACUGUGUAUAAAACAUUAUCUCUAUUAAAGAGAAUCACAUAUCCAAGAUGUAUUGAUGCUUCAACUUUCUUUUCAACGUUCACUAUUUAAACCCAUGCAUAAUGCAUUCCUUUGUUCGCACUUCGUAUUUUAAUUGAAAUAUUUAGGUAAGUCAUGCCUGUCUCUUUUCUUUUUUUCUUUUUCUUAUAACCAAGUCCUGCCUUUCUUGGUUUGUCACUUUCUCAUAAUCUUAUCCGUGAGUAUUGAUCUCUCUACGAAAAUUUCAAUUGACCAUCUCAAAGAACUUGUAAAAUGCUCUUCCUUAUUAUCAUCCUUUUUUUCCCUAAAAUUUAGUAUUUGUCUUUAGCAUAUUUUGUUUUAGUUGAAAACGAUUGAUAAAUUAGUGUUACAUCCAAAUGCUGGAAUUUUAUAAUAAAAUAAAGAAGUUAGUAGGGUUCAUGUUAGAUGUGUAAAAUACUUUUUUCACUAAGACAUUAGAUUUCUGUUUCGAUAGAUUAUUAUAAAUUCUUCAGUUUGUUGAUGUCAUUACUAUUGACUCUUUCAGUUAAAAAUGUCACAGAAAGUAGGACCUUUCGGUGGUAACAAAGGAGAUCCAUUCGACGAUAGCGUUUUUGGUUACAACGGUGUGAGGAAAGUGAUUGUUGGGGAAAACGGUAACGGCGUGGAUUGUAUCAAAAUCGAAUACGAGAAAGACGGCAAAUUCGAGACACAAAUGCACGGAAGUGUCACCGGAGUACUAAAAGAGGUUGCAUAACUUUGUCUACAUAUGAUACUGCAUUUCUAAUUAUAUGUGUUGACUAUACCAUUCUCUGUUUUUUGCUCUGUUUCUUCUUUGUUGCAGUUUGUACUUAACUAUAUCACAUCAAUUCAGGCAAGCUAUAGCGAUGUUGCGAGAUACAACACAACUAUCGUGAAGUCUCUUAUCUUCAAGACAUCACACGGGAGAAAAUCUCCCAUGUAUGGUCAGAUAGCGAUUUUUAAAACAGAUUUCGUGGUGGAAGGUAAUUGUGGAGCAAAACUUACCGGGUUCCAUGGAAGGUCUGGUACUGCUCUGUUUGCUAUUGGAGCUCAUUUUCUCGCGCCUUCUUCUCCUGUGAAGCAGUUAGAACCUCAAGGUGGAGACAGAGGAUAUGCUUGGGAUGAUGGUGUUUACGAUGGUGUAAGUAAAAUAUCGGUUACACAAGAUGGUAGCUACCUAAGCUAUGUUAAGUUCAAGUAUGUUAAAGGAAGCACAUCUGUUCGGCAUUCUCACGGAAAGAUGAACCAAGAACCAAAAGAGUUUAAGGUUGAUUAUCCAAAUGAAUUUAUUACAUCAGUGGAAGGAACUUACAUUUUUGUGGUUAUGUAACCUCGCUUACUUUCAAAACAUCAAAGUGUAGAAUCUCUCCUGUAUUUGGAAAAGUGUCUAGUAAGAAAUUCGUCCUUGCGGUGCUUGUCGGAUUCCGUGGACGUAAUAGUGAAAGUGACAAUGCUCUCAGAGCACUUGGAGCAAAUUUUGCGCCAGUUCCAGCUCCAGUUGCACCGGUUCCAGCGCCAGUCCCCACACAAGUUCCGGCUAAGAAACUAGAAGCAAAAGGCGGAGAUGGAGGAGCCAUGUGGGAUGAUGGUUUCUAUGAAGAUGUGAGGAAGGUAUAUGUAGGACAAGGUGACUCCGGUGUGUCUUUUGUUAAGUUUGAGUAUGCUAAUCGCAAGGAGCUUGUAGCUGGAGUUGGCCAUGGGAAGAUGUCAAUUCUUGGAACAGAGGAGGUUUUUGUGCUCUGUUCUCGUAUUGACCUAAUAAUGUUUUCUUGAGAUCCAAGUUUCACUGGUCUUUGUAUUUUGUGGCAGUUUGUGCUCGAUUCUCCAAAUGAAUACAUUGUAUCGGUGGAGGGAAGUUACGAUAAAUUAUUUGGAGUGGAAGGCGAGUUGGUGACGAUGCUUAGGUUCAAGACAAACAAGCGUACCUCUCCACCGUUUGGGCUCGAUGCAGGCACAACGUUUGCGUUGGAGAUGAAAGAUCAUAAGAUCGUUGGAUUCCAUGGCAAAGCUGGAGAUUUUGUUCAUCAAGUUGGUAUCCACGUCACCCAAAUCACCAAGUCUUAAAGCUUUGUGAGCUUUCUCUUCUAUUCCUAGAAUAAAAUUAAAAAGCCAUGUCUGUUUGUUACUCCUCAGCUUCUAGUUACUCUCUUUUAACUAUGUCUUGCUUCGUUUGUUUGUUAUGUGUUAUGAAGUGGUCUGCUUCUUUGAAUAAAGCAUCGUUUUGUUGGAAUGUGAUAAACUGAUAAUUGUGUUAUGCUAUACUUGGAUGCAUGAGGAUAAAUGAAAACUAACUAUUCAACUAAACCCUAAAACCUAUACGAUCAAAAUUAUAGUAAAUAGUAACACUUAAUGAGACUUUAAAGUUGAGAUGUGUAACUAGUCACCACUCACUCAUGUUAGUGAUUCAUGUGUGUGUCAGUGUGUGUGUGUGUGUUUUUAUCAAGGUCUUCUCUUAAGAUUCAUAAGUGUGAAUCUGGUGGGACUUAAUUGGUCUGGUGGAGUAGAACCUAUGCGGGCAAUGAGGAAGGUUAAGGUAGGCUAACCGAGCCCACUCUCUAAGUGUUUAAUUUGUAACCUUAAUUCGUAAAUAAAAGCUGUUUAAUUUGUAACCUUUAUUAGAUAAAAUUUUGUCUUUUUUUUUGUCAAAAGAUAAAAUGUUGUCAAUCAUUUUAAAAACAAAGAAAAAAACUUUUUUGGCAAGAAUUUAUAUAUUUGCUUGUCAUAAAUUUUCCAUUUUGUAGUAUUUUGAAAAAAAUAUUUUAACGAAUGGAAGCAAUAACUCGACAAAAAGAGUCAAACUAAAGUACCUUCACAUGCAAAACAAAACGUAAAUUUGGUAUUUUUUUCCCAUUAAAAAAAAUAUAUAUAUAUUCUUGGCCUUGUGUGCGAAGACGAUCGAGAACGAGAAGAACGAUAAGCUCAAUACGCACGAACGUAGAUCGAAGACUGGAAAGGUAUAUCUUCAUCAAAAUAUUCAUGAUUAUGGUUGAGUUUAAUUUUGUUUACGUAUUUGUUUUAAUUUUUCAAAAGUCCACUGUUGGCUGGCUGUUGCUAUCUUGGAAUGAUUUUCAUAUCUCAAUAACUAUUGUUUACUCUAAGUUAAAUUAUUGGGGUGCUAUUUAUGAUGACUGAUGAAGUGAUGGGAACAUGAUUGCAAUAUUAAAAUCUCUUUUUUAUUUAUAUUAAUUAUAAGUUUGUACCCACUUCAUUUUAAAUAGAUAAUGCCAAGACGUAGGUAUAUUAUUACUGAAUUUAUUUUUUAAUAAUAAGUAAAUAUGCAGGUUUCAACUAGAAAGGUAACACAUCAACAAGAAAUACCAAAAACCACUAGCUUACAUAUUUUGAUCAUAUAAGUAUUGAAUAAUAUAGUUAUAGAUGAUCAAAUAGUUAUUAUUAAUUACUUAGCUAGUGUAAUUUCUAUCGAUUGUUUCACAUUCGCAACAGAUAAUUAUAUAAAUAAAUACAUACUACAUGUUAACCUUUGUUUUUGUUAAAUAGGAUGUUUUCUUGAUUGAUGAUCUAGAUCAACUUUUAAUAAUUUAUACGUACCAGCUUUCAUUCGAUCGUGCGACUUCUUGGAAUAUCCCAUGGUACAUUUGCAGUCGAGCUAGAAAGCUUUUUUGAUAAUUUAUGAAUCAUAUUAAGCGUCUCUCAAUUAGAUUAAUAUUUAGUACCAGUGUAAAUGAUACAAUUAUAAAUCUUUUUACCAACGAAUACAGAAUUUGUUUUAGAAAUAUUCUUCGCAAAAUUUUAUAAUAUUUCAUAAAUCAGUUAUAAAAAAAAAAAAAGCAGUUUUGAAUUCAGAGGAAUUCGUAAAUUUCCCUAAGAGUUAUUAAAACUAGUUGUGAUAUUUUGGAGUAUUCUUUAUGGCUAGAUCCAUAUGAUCCGGUUCUUGUAUCUAGAUUUUUUUUACGGAAUAUUGUAUGAUAUAUCUAGUCUCCUCUUUGGUUCUAAACUUCUAAUUAAUCUUCGGUGAUUUGAAUUAAACGUUACUGUUUUUAAAUUAUGAUUAAGGCUUUAAAACAUGUUCAUACAAUAAUUACCAAAUCUUAACCAAUUAGACUCUUAAUAAGGAGAACGUAUAUAUAUGUUGCAACUUGCAACUUUAGCCCUUUACAAAUAAUUAAUCGUACAUAAUCUAAUUGAUAAACGAUUCUUUAAAUUUUAAAACAAUGAAUUAGCUUGCUGCCAUCGUUUAAUGGGCCAACGCCAAUAUAAAGACGAUUAGUUGAGAAGUUGUGCAAGUAGAAGUAUAUGAAUAUUUUCAUUAUCUAAAAAAAAAAAUGUAUAUGAACAUGCGUUUUUCCCAGUAAUGCUUUUUAUAUAAAUAUGCCUCGUGGAUCACGAAAGAAUAAAUUAUUAUUUCCCUUAUUAUUUCAUCUAGUACGAUCAAUAUCAAGAAGUCAAUAUAAAUAAACAUACAAUUCACUUUAAUUGAUCAUAGCACCGAUAACAAUCUACUCUCUUUAAAAGGUCUUAUCUCUAUUCUUCUCUAUUAUGUAAAAAUUGGUUAAUAGUAGAUAUUAACAAUUUAUUUUUGCAACUACAGAAAUUCGUAAGUACUAUCAAGAAGCAGAAGAUGGCCCAAAAGGUGGAAGCACAAGGAGGGAAAGGAGCCAACCUAUGGGACGAUGGAUCGACACAUGACGCCGUGACCAAGAUUCAGCUCGCAGCAGGCAUAGACGGAAUUCAAUAUGUUCAGUUUGAUUAUGUCAAGAACGGACAACCCGAACAAGCUCCUCUUCGUGGUACCAAAGGCC